GAUGAACGCUGGCGGCGUGCCUAAUACAUGCAAGUCGAGCGAACAGACGAGGAGCUUGCUCCUCGGACGUUAGCGGCGGACGGGUGAGUAACACGUGGAUAAUCUACCUAUAAGACUGGGAUAACUUCGGGAAACCGGCGCUAAUAGCGGAUAAUAUACUGAACCACAUGGUUCAAUAGUGAAAGACGGUGUUGGUGGAACUUAUAGAUGGAUCCGCGCCGCAUUAGCUAGUUGGUAGGGUAACGGCUUACCAAGGCAACGAUGCGUAGCCGACCUCAGAGGGUGGUCGCCCACCCUGGAGCGUGGCCAGGGACCAUGCUCCUACGGGACGCCGCAGUAGGGAAUCUUCCGCAGUGGGCGAGAGCCUGACGGAGCAGCGCCGCGUCAGUGGUGACGAUGUUCGGAUCGUAAUGCUCUGUUAUGAGGGGAGAACCAAUGUGUAAGUAGCUGUGCACGUAUUGACGGUAACUAAUCAGAAAGCCACGGCUAACUACGUG
rnacentral:rRNA from 1 species